rnacentral:lncRNA from 1 species
GACACUAAUGACCUCGUAAAUAUUAAAUAAUCAAUAUUUAUAGACUGACACAUCAGAAUUUGUGGUCUCAAAACUACUGUUUCGACACCACUGAAAAACGGAUUGUUACACCUUGGCAACGAUGACUUUUACUAUUUGUCUGUACUGUUUAUUCUAUCAUCCCAUAUUGCCCAACAACGGUAGCUAGUAAAUCAUUAUAUCGAUGACACUAUGACAUGCCAACUAUACCUAAACUACGUCUAACAUUGUUUAACAAUGCAUUAACAUCAUAAUCACCUUUGUAACACAUAUCAUCAUAAUAUAACGUCUCAACAAUUUAUAUACAUAGCAAACACAAUUACGAAUCGUUAUCUCAUAUUGCAAAUAUCACCAAUCGGAUCCAUUAUCGAAAGUUUAUAUGGUUUUCGCUUUGUCUCGAAACGGUCCUACGUCGUCUUUAGCUAUGAAAGUAAACCUAAAUACAAAAAUUCAUUAAUCACACGAUUCAAACAUAAUUUGCUGUAAUUUAAACAUGAAUGCAUUUAUUACAGUUUAGUCAUUUGAAUUCCUAAUGUCUAAAAUGCUCGUACCUCGUGAUCUACCUGAUCGAAUUUAAAAUUAACUUCAUAACUAUAGUGCAGGGACCUCAUGAUACUAUUAGCUAUCAUUUAACCUCAAAGUUUCUACCCUUUACAAAUAAGUCCUUAAACAAUACACAAUUUAUAAAAUAAUUCAAGAUUAAAUUGCUACCUUCUGCUAUGUUUUUAUCAUGUAAUUAUAUAAAUUAAUUCAUCUCAGUCAUGCAUGAGCUUAAGCUUUAACAUGCAUCCAAAUUUUCUUUAAGCAUUCAAUAAGGAUAAUUUAAUUAACUCUCUUGAAUCCUCAAAUCCUAUACAUGGGGUUUAUUUACCAUGAUUCAUUACAUGGCAAGUGGGAGAGACGACAACUUGAGAAGAAAAGAAACAAAGUUUGCUUCCUCCUUACUUGGCUAAUCGGUGGAGAAAUGAAAGAGAUGAAGAUAUGU